ACCUAUACCCCUAGGUUGCCCCCCUCUCUCACGAUUUUAAUAUACACACACACUCACUGGAAAAGAGAUACGCAUACAGGCCUCACACAUAAUUCACACACUACACUCACUGAUAAAAUACACCCACACAGUAACACACCUCAUGAUACAGAUACUCUCAACAUCUCACAGUACCACACACACAGAAAGAGACAUGGAUUUCCUCUAAUUCAUUGAAAUUCCCACGUCUAUCACACAAUACUGAGCUCAUAUAUGCACACACACAAUAUUCACGCACACACACAACUUCUACACAGUGAGAAAUACACACACAAAAAUGGGAAAGGGAGAAUGGUGUGAGAAUCAAUAAAUAUGGGGAGAUAGAGAUCAGAAACAGAGAAAAUUGAGAGAGAGAGAAGAAAAAACAAAGAGUUUUGAGAGGGAGGAGAGUCGAGGCUUGAACUGAAAAGGAGAAAUUCAUAGCUGUUGAAUUUUUCGGCGAGUUUCUCGCCGGAAAUCGCUGAGUAUACAAGCAAACCAGUCACCGCCGACCUGUUUCCUAUUUUUUGAUCAGGAACUCACCAAAAAUUGACUCCACCAGCUGAAGAUCGACAAAACCCAACUAAAAUCCAAUAGCGGCGGCCCCAUUUUCGUUUUCGUUCUGGCAAAGUUCAUCGAAAAUCGUGAAGGGUUUCUCAUUUUUUUUUCAUAAUUUGUCUUUGUUUGCUCGUCUUUUGCUUGGGUUUAAAUCUGUCCGGGUUGUUAUUUCUUGAUAUAAAGUUGAUUUAGCUCGUGUUUGAGGCUUUGUCGUCUGAGGAUUCUGGAUUGGGGCUUUCAUGAACUCAUUAUUAUCAGCAACCAGUAUUGAGGUCCAAAUUCUCAACUCUAUUUAUUUUUCUUAUUAAAGUAAUGUGGUUAAUGAUAUGAUUUAUUGGUGACAUGACUUUUGAUUGUGUGGUUGAGCAAUGCUAAUUGUUGUGGUUUGAUUGAUUGAUAGAAAUUGAUUAAUUAGUCGAGAACAACUUGAACUCAAUUGGGAAUAAAU
rnacentral:lncRNA from 1 species